UACGUAGGGUGCGAGCGUUAAUCGGAAUUACUGGGCGUAAAGCGUGCGUAGGCGGUUCGUUGUGUCUGUGGUGAAAGCCCCGGGCUUAACCUGGGAAUGGCCAUGGAAACUGGCGAGCUGGAGUGUGGCAGAGGGGGGUGGAAUUCCGCGUGUAGCAGUGAAAUGCGUAGAGAUGCGGAGGAACACCGAUGGCGAAGGCAGCCCCCUGGGCUAACACUGACGCUGAGGCACGAAAGCGCGGGGAGCAAACAGG
rnacentral:rRNA from 1 species